rnacentral:lncRNA from 1 species
CAGAUGACGAGGGGAUUGGCAGCAAUAGAUUAGCACAUCAGGAAGGGGGAAGAUAGCAACAAGAAGGAAACUCACAAUGAUGAGAAGCAGAGCUCAAUGAUAAACAGUGACCGGCUCAGCGAGAUACUCUUCUUAUCGGGAAGAGGUCCCUCUCCUGCCUCCGGUAGCAGAGCCCAGUUCUCCAUGCCCCGUGGUUACCACAGAUGCUCAGAUUUCUCCGAUCGUACAACAAAUGAACGUCCUCACAGAGGUAGUCAAAAGCCUCCAACAACAGUAAACCCAGCCACCACAAUCACCGAUGGAGC